rnacentral:misc_RNA from 1 species
CUGCCGGUAGAUCCCCCGUCUUUGUGCGGCCGACUACCGGCGCCGUGUCCCGUCGGUUCUGUGGCUUAUGUUACUGUUGCCUUUCAAGCGCUUGUGUGUUGGUACCCGAACUCCGGGUAGUGGUGCUUUGUAUUCGGUUGCCUCGCGGUGGCCGCCUUUGGGUGUGCUGCUGCGGCCAAAUGGCGCUUGCGGCGUUUCCUCGUUGUGCCGGCAUGUUUACUCUGCCGGUGCAAUCAAGGCAACCUCGCUCCCGCUGUUGGUCUCGGAUGUUGCCUACGUUAAAGUCUCCUGGCCCAUAUAAGUUGCCUUGACCCGACCCUAAGAAGCUCUCCGAAAAAUUGAGAACAACCGGAACAGAUGUUGCCUCUACCUCUCCACAGUUAGUGGUAGGAUUAUGCAACAUUCUGCGCCGAUCCUCAAACUAGUAGGAUGAGCUUAGACCGCUCAAUUGCGACAACCRGCCCGGCCGUUCCUCUGCCUUGACACGCAAGUGGAUGGGCGGACAACUUCCGACGCUGGACGUCAAAGAGG